UACGUAGGUGGCGAGCGUUGUCCGGAAUUACUGGGUGUAAAGCGCGUGUAGGCGGCAGGCCAAGUCGGUGGUGAAAGCGCCCGGCUCAACUGGGCGAGGUCCAUGGAAACUGGUCAGCUGGAGGACGGUAGAGGCGAGUGGAAUUCCCGGUGUAGUGGUGAAAUGCGCAGAUAUCAGGAGGAACACCAAUUGCGAAGGCAGCUCGCUGGGACGUUACUGACGCUGAGACGCGAAAGCGUGGGGAGCAAACAGG
rnacentral:rRNA from 1 species